AUUGAACGCUAGCGGGAUGCUUUACACAUGCAAGUCGAACGGAGAGGCGGACGGGUUGGAAAUAUAUCUGAACUUGCCCAGUAGCUGGGGACAACUACGCGAAACAGUGGCUAAACCCGCAUAGUAUUGGCGCGGCCGAUAUCGGACUAGCUAGUUGGUGGGGUAAAGGCUCACCAAGGCAACGAGCCGUAUCUGGUUUGAGAGGACGACCAGCCACACUGGAACUGAGACACGGCCCAGACUCCUACGGGAGGCAGCAGUGGGGAAUUUUGGACAAUGGGGGAAACCCUGAUCCAGCCAUCCCGCGUGUGUGAUGAAGGCCUUCGGGUUGUAAAGCACUUUUAGCAGGGAAGCGGUACCUGCAGAAUAAGCACCGGCUAACUACGUGCCAGCAGCCGCGGUAAUUC
rnacentral:rRNA from 1 species